rnacentral:rRNA from 1 species
UACAUAGGUCUCAAGCGUUGUUCGGAUUCAUUGGGCGUAAAGGGUGCGUAGGCGGCGUGGUAAGUCGGGUGUGAAAUCUCGGAGCUUAACUCCGAAACUGCAUUCGAUACUGCCGUGCUUGAGGACUGGAGAGGAGACUGGAAUUUACGGUGUAGCGGUGAAAUGCGUAGAUAUCGUAAGGAAGACCAGUGGCGAAGGCGGGUCUCUGGACAGUUCCUGACGCUGAGGCACGAAGGCCAGGGGAGCAAACGGG